rnacentral:rRNA from 1 species
GAUGAACGCUGGCGGCGUGCCUAAUGCAUGCAAGUCGAGCGAACAGACGAGGAGCUUGCUCCUCUGACGUUAGCGGCGGACGGGUGAGUAACACGUGGAUAACCUACCUAUAAGACUGGGAUAACUUCGGGAAACCGGAGCUAAUACCGGAUAAUAUAUUGAACCGCAUGGUUCAAUAGUGAAAGACGGUUUUGCUGUCACUUAUAGAUGGAUCCGCGCCGCAUUAACUAGUUGGUAAGGUAACGGCUUACCAAGGCAACGAUGCGUAGCCGACCUGAGAGGGUGAUCGGCCACACUGGAACUGAGACACGGUCCAGACUCCUACGGGAGGCAGCAGUAGGGAAUCUUCCGCAAUGGGCGAAAGCCUGACGGAGCAACGCCGCGUGAGUGAUGAAGGUCUUCGGAUCGUAAAACUCUGUUAUUAGGGAAGAACAAAUGUGUACGUAACUAUGCACGUCUUGACGGUACCUAAUCAGAAAGCAACGGCUAACUACGUG